GAUGAAGAACGUAGCGAAAUGCGAUAAGUAAUGUGAAUUGCAGAAUUCAGUGAAUCAUCGAAUCUUUGAACGCACAUUGCGCCCGCUAGUAUUCUAGCGGGCAUGCCUGUUCGAGCGUCAUUUCAACCAUCAAGCCCCAGGCUUGUGUUGGAGCCCUGCGAUCGUCCGCAGCCUCCUAAAAUCAGUGGCGGGCUCGCUAUCACACCGAGUGCAGUAGUUUACUCUUCGCUCAGGACGUGUAGCGGGUUCCGGCCGUGAAACCCCCCAAUUUUCAAGGUUGACCUCGGAUCAGGUAGGAAUACCCGCUGAACUUAAGCAUAUCAAUAAGCGGAGGA
rnacentral:misc_RNA from 1 species